rnacentral:rRNA from 1 species
UACAGAGGGGGCAAGCGUUGUUCGGAAUUACUGGGCGUAAAGGGCGCGUAGGCGGCCGCCUAAGUCAGACGUGAAAUCCCUCGGCUCAACCGGGGAACUGCGUCUGAUACUGGGUGGCUUGAAUCCGGGAGAGGGAUGCGGAAUUCCAGGUGUAGCGGUGAAAUGCGUAGAUAUCUGGAGGAACACCGGUGGCGAAGGCGGCAUCCUGGACCGGCAUUGACGCUGAGGUGCGAAAGCGUGGGGAGCAAACAGG